AUAAUUUUCAAUAAGUACACAAUACAUAGUUAUAAUACGAAAUAGAGUAAAAGCAUGUAUUGACUUUUAAAUGCGAUGUGUAUAUAUAACACUUCUGUGUGCCAUUCAGACACUUAGUAUAAUUCUUCAGACCCUCCAAACCUUUAGGAAGAUCCCCUGCAUCUUUCUUACUCUAGACCACAGGCUGGUCAAUGGCUAAUGCUGCUGUAACGGGCAUCAUGUGCUGGUGUUAGUCUCCUCAUCAUUAACUUUAAUGAUGAAGGAAUAAACCAUGCACUCUCUAGCAUACCUUGCAAAGUGAGGCUGUAGGACCUUCAUAUGGAAUGAUGAGAAUAUCAAACAGAUAUGUUCAUUAUGCCUUUAUGAUGUAAUUACAGGGCACACAUAUCUUUCUGAUUCCAUAUUGUGUCUCUUAAUCACACAAACAAGCUUCAUCCCAAAGGCUUUAUUGAUUUGUCACACCUCUGUUGACAUUUGACUGGUAAUCCUUUGAAGGAGAGCUAAUCAAAAGACCCUUUUCUCUCCUGCUUGACGCAGAAGACACCACUCAGCAAGGCUUCCCCACUGCUCCUCAAUGAAUUGUCACCAUUUUAUUCCUACCACGAGUGUAGGAUGAUCUUUCUCUCCCCAUUCAGGACAAAUCAUGGAUGAUCCCUGAUCAGCUGUCAUGGCACAAAGUGCCUGGACUCCACUAAUACAUUCAUUUCUUCUAAGAACUAUCUUCGGGGUUUAAUUUUGAAGAAACUGUCCUGAGUUUUUCCAUAAUGUUUGACAUCAUAGCAUAGACUCCAUUGAUUUGUUUGUACAAUCAUGGACCUCCAGGUUAUUAUUAUUUUUUUAUACCUGCAUACUGUAUGUAUAAUGAACUUCUUCAGUAAAGAGCAUACAGAAGUAAGCACAUGGUGAAAUAACUCAUUUGUUAAACAACUGCUUUAGGGAACUUAGUGGAAUCCUGAUCUGUGACUCACAAAAGCAUUCCUCUUGGAACAGUGGAUGAGGAGCUGAAAGAGUCAGUAAGGUCUGAGGCCAGCAUCUCAUCAACGUCUUCAUAUCAUCAUCAUCAUCAUCAUCAUCAUCAUCACCAUCAUCAUCAGUCUGUCCCAGGCAGUACUAAGCAUAAAGGACACCCGGGCUGGAUACCAGUCCAUCAAAAAUACUCUCCCCUGCUUUAGAUUAUUCACUUGAGAUUUUCUCCUGCUUACUGUAAUAUUUCUUACCAUUAUGCUCUGUGGUAAUCAUGAUCGUGGCUUAUCCCUUACUAGGGAAUGGCUCACAAAUGCAGUGACUACAUGGCUUAUUAGAUACUUUCAUGUUAUUCCAGCUAUAAAUUACUACCCUUGAUGCAGUAGGUCUACAUCCAGCUAUUCGUCCAGUACAGGAUCACAUUCAUUGGCCACUGGUGGAUGCAGUUUUUGGGGAGACAAACAAACUGAAGCAGCACUUCAUAGCACAUUCGCUGGCUGCUGGAUUUGCAAAUCGGGUCAGUCCGCUCCGGAUAACGCUUUAUAUCAGAGGUCUCCAACGCAGGUGACUCCAGACUGUCAGCCAUGACACAUCUAACAUGCAAAAGCAUUCUCUACGUCCGUGGGGGGCUCCAGUGCAUCAAACUGAGACCUCAGCAGAUCAGCGGACAUGAAAUGGUCCCUCCGUGCCGACAGCCGCUGGUGUAUGAGCUGAAAGUCACCGUGGAGGAA